rnacentral:rRNA from 1 species
AAACAUGAGAGUUUGAUCCUGGCUCAGGAUGAACGCUGGCGGCGUGCUUAACACAUGCAAGUCGAACGAAGCAGUUUCAAAGAAGCCUUCGGGCG